rnacentral:rRNA from 1 species
UACGAAGGGGGCUAGCGUUGCUCGGAAUCACUGGGCGUAAAGGGCGCGUAGGCGGCCAUUCAAGUCAGAGGUGAAAGCCCAGGGCUUAACCCUGGAAUUGCCUUUGAUACUGUUUGGCUUGAGACCGGAAGAGGUAAGUGGAACUGCGAGUGUAGAGGUGAAAUUCGUAGAUAUUCGCAAGAACACCAGUGGCGAAGGCGGCUCACUGGCCCGGUACUGACGCUGAGGUGCGAAAGCGUGGGGAGCAAACAGG